AUUGAACGCUGGCGGCAGGCUUAACACAUGCAAGUCGAGCGGAGUGAUGGUGCUUGCACUAUCACUCAGCGGCGGACGGGUGAGUAAUGCUUAGGAAUCUGCCAUUUAGUGGGGGACAACAUUCCGAAAGGAAUGCUAAUACCGCAUACGUCCUACGGGAGAAAGCAGGGGAUCUUCGGACCUUGCGCUAAAUGAUGAGCCUAAGUCGGAUUAGCUAGUUGGUGGGGUAAAGGCCUACCAAGGCGACGAUCUGUAGCGGGUCUGAGAGGAUGGUCCGCAACACUGGGCCUGAGACACGGCCCAGAAUCCUACGGGCGGCAGCGGUGGGGAAUAUUGGACAAUGGGCAGAAGCCUGAUCCAGCCAUGCCGCGUGUGUGAAGAAGGCCUUUUGGUUGUAAAGCACUUUAAGCGAGGAGGAGGCUACUUUAGAUAAUACCUAGAGAUAGUGGACGUUACUCGCAGAAUAAGCACCGGCUAACUCUGUGCCAGCCGCCGCCGUAACAC
rnacentral:rRNA from 1 species